rnacentral:lncRNA from 1 species
CCUCUUCAAAAAGAAGCCGCAGUGCCAUCUGAGCCCUGAGGAAUGACUGGAGCCCUAAAGGCAGUGCACACCCUGCUCCUGAGCCUGCUGCUCAUUUCCUCUAUAUGGCUCCAUUUGUAAGACAAUUGUUGCACUGAGGCUUGUGCAUGCCAGGCAAGGCCAAGCUGGCUCAAGAGCAACCAGCCACCUCUGCAAGGGUGUGCCAGGAGCCGUGGAAGCACCAACCUCACUCACUGCGCUCAUGUACAUCUUCUACCUAGAGUAGGCCCCAUGCCAUCUGCUUUUCCUCAGGCCUCUGCUCCAUCAGCCAUCAGGUGGCAGCCACUCAGUCUGUUGGAAUCUGGCCAUCCCUGCUUCCUUGAGUGGGUGAGGUUGGUGGCAGCCACUCAGUCUGUUGGAAUCUGGCCAUCCCUGCUUCCUUGAGUGGGUGAGGUUGGUACAUCAGUUCUACCCUAGAGGUAGGGCCCCAGUGCCAUCUGUUUUGCUCAGGCCUCUGCUCCAUCAGCCAUCAGGUGGCAGUCACUCGGUCUGUUGGAAUCUGGCCAUCCCUGCUUCCUUGAGUGGGUGAGGUUGGUGGCUGCUCCACCUGUUCCAGGGCACCCUUGCAGAGUGGCUGGUUGCUCUUUGAGCCAGCUUGGCCUUGCUGGCAUGCACAGACCGCAGGUACCAAGUGCGCUCUGAGUGAGCUUGUCCUGCCUGGGCCAAAUUCUAAGUCUGGCC